rnacentral:lncRNA from 12 species
AGCAUCAAGCACUGUGGUCCAGGCUUAGAGCAACAAAAGCUUGCAACUCAGCUUCAUGCCAGCCUUGGUCAGCCUCAUCUGAGGGAUAAGAGACAGUGAAAACUGUCCAGUUUCUGUGUGGAUUUUUUCUACUGCAUGGCUUUG